ACCAGACUCCUACGGGAGGCAGCAGUGGGGAAUAUUGGGCAAUGGAGGCAACUCUGACCCAGCAACGCCGCGUGAAUGAUGAAGGUCUUCGGAUUGUAAAGUUCUUUUCUAAGGGAAGAAGAAAGUGACGGUACCUUAGGAAUAAGCCUCGGCUAACUACGUGCCAGCAGCCGCGGUAAUACGUAGGAGGCAAGCGUUAUCCGGAAUGACUGGGCGUAAAGGGUGCGUAGGUGGUUUGACAAGUUGGUAGCGCAACUCCGGGGCUCAACCUCGGCACUACUACCAAAACUGUUGAACUUGAGUGCAGGAAGGGCAAAUGGAAUUCCUAGUGUAGCGGUGGAAUGCGUAGAUAUUAGGAGGAACACCAGUGGCGAAGGCGAUUUGCUGGACUGUAACUGACACUGAGGCACGAAAGCGUGGGUAUCGAACAGGAUUAGAUACCCCAGUA
rnacentral:rRNA from 1 species